ACAGCCCACCACUGUCAUAACCCACAUGGCUGGAGUUUUGAGGCCCAAAUCAAUGUGGGAGAGUUAAACCAUUAUCACCAAAGUGGACAUGAUGAACCGCCAGCCUAAAUGAAGAAAUUUUAAGGUUAGUAUCACUAUUAGGAAAAUGAAAGCGAGAGAACAACCCAUUUUUGUUUUUGCCAAAAUCUGAUGACGGCACUUGAGGCGCCAAUUGCGGCUGGUAACCACCGCCACUGCCAAAAUUUGAUGACGGCACUUGAGGCACAAACUACGAUUAGUAACCACCACCACGCGCUACACCAAAAUUUUAAUUAAAAGACAAGCGAACCAACGCCAGUGUCAGACCUUUAUAGCUUUCAUUAAACCGAUAAAACCACCAUUGUGUGAGGUGACAAAAGCGGCCACAGAUCUGACACUGCACAUGGCCCCUGAAACUACUACCACGACCGCCAGGCGAGGACCGAAUGGACCUAGAUGAGUCAGCCAUCAUUGGUGCUAAGGAGGGAUUGAAUCAGCGAGAUUCGCAUGAUAAGGAGUCUCAACAACCAGGCGUUUUUGUCUCAUUCAAACUGAAGAAGAAUAUCAAUCAAUCGACGUAGUGGUAGGGGUUCAAAGGAGAAGUAUGCAAGGGUAACCACCGUAUCGUACUCCGACAAAAACCCCGCGAGAACAAUCUCCACCUUCUUGGAGUCCGAAACCUGGUGGCCAGAGGCCGCAAGAUAACUGAGGACCAGUCACAGCAGCAAACAUGCGAUUAGCGGUGGUCCAGACAUCAUUAGAUGUUUGCACAUCAGUAAAGCACAACAAUAACGAACCACUGAUUGUGGAGAGUAACCAUGAUGCAAGAAUUUUAUAAUGAUGAUGAAAAAUGAAAGCCUCUGAAUUCAAAACCAUCUGGCCAUCCGGACCCAAUACAAAUUGUGGCGAAGACGAAUGAGAUCCAUCAACAAAUCCGGAAAACUUUGAAUCAAAUGAACCGUACCAGAGUUAGAGUGCAACAAAGGUGUCGCAGCACGGACAUGUGGAGAAUGACCAUUAGUAGAAACAAAAUUUGUAGAUUAAGCCAUGAGAGCACAACAAAAAGACACCAGAACCUCAAGCUAGUAAUACCAUGAAAGAAAUACUGGAAAAAGGUUGUGGGAAUCAUCUUCAAGCUUUUUCUUGCCAAGAUCUCUUUCUUGGAGGGGGAAUUAAAACCAUUGAAAGGCGUUGUGGAUUCUUAAUGUUUCCAAGGCUUCUUAGGAUAUCCUCUUCUCUUUUCUAUCCUUAAUUUAUCGUUUCUUGUUUAUUUAAGUUAGGUCUUGUUGUUUUGGAUUGCUAAUUUUAUUGAUUUUCGUUCUAGGUUAAAGUUGCUUCAAGAAAGACGUUCUCCUAUCUUAUUCCAUCAAUCAACACAUCAAAAUUAGGAGUUUUAACAUUUUCUUGUUGUUUCAAAUAUUUUUGCACAAAACAGUUUGUUUUUGUCUUUAAAAUCACUUCUAAUAAAUUUGUUUGUGUUUUGUUUUUCUAGAUCUGGUUAAGGCGUUUUCUUGAGGCCUAAGGACAGUUUUUUUCCAUCGAAGAAACUCUAAUUCAUUCUCUAUUGGACUCUUUACCAGCCGGUUCAUCUUUCUUUUUGUUUUAAUUUCAUUUGAUUUUCCUUUGUGACAACUAAUAUGUUUUUAUUGUUUCUUGUUUCAGUUUAUGUUCGUCAAGAAAUCUAGGAUAAAUCCGUGACUUUAACAAA